rnacentral:rRNA from 1 species
AAGGUUUCCGUAGGUGAACCUGCGGAAGGAUCAUUAUCGAGUUCUGAAACAGGUUGUUGCUGGUCUUGUGUAAUAUCUCAAGUCAUGUGCACGCCUGGCUCAUCCACUCUUUCAACCUCUGUGCACUUAUUGUAGGUUGGUAACAAGGCUGUUUGAGAUUUUAUUAUUUCAUCAGCUUGAAGACCUUCCUAUGUUUUAUUACAAACGUUUCAGUUAUAGAAUGUUAAUCUUUGCGUAUAACGCAUUUAUAUAUACAACUUUCAGCAACGGAUCUCUUGGCUCUCGCAUCGAUGAAGAACGCAGCGAAAUGCGAUAAGUAAUGUGAAUUGCAGAAUUCAGUGAAUCAUCGAAUCUUUGAACGCACCUUGCGCUCCCUGGUAUUCCGGGGAGCAUGCCUGUUUGAGUGUCAUGGAAUUCUCAAUCUUGAGUAUUUUUAUCAUUAAUAAUACACAAGACUUGGACUUGGAGGUUUUUUAAUUGCUGGCUCUUGUUAGUCAGCUCCUCUGAAAUGCAUUAGCGUGCAUCUUACGGAUCGCCUUCGGUGUGAUAAUUAUCUGCAUCGUGGUCGUGAAGUAUAUUUAUGUUCACGCUUUAUAAUAAUUGUCCUUGAAAAGGGAUAAUAUCUUUGACUUUUGACCUCAAAUCAGGUAGGACUACCCGCUGAACUUAA